CAAGUACUCCCUCCGUCCGGAAUUACUUGCCAUCAAAAUGGAUGUGUCUAGAACUAAAAUACAUCUAGAUACAUCCAUUUCAAUGACAAGUAUUUUCGGACGGAGGGAGUACAAG
rnacentral:pre_miRNA from 1 species